rnacentral:rRNA from 1 species
AUGAAGAAAGGGGAGAGUCGUGGCAAGAGGGCGAGUGCCGAGGAGGUGAAGUCGGAGUCGGAGAAAGGGGAGGCAACGAUGCAAGACGAAGGUGAAGCAGGGGAUGCGUUGGUGGCGGCGGAAUCCAUGGCACCGACACAGAUCGACGUGAGGAUGGACGUGACACUCCUCCAUUGCCAGGGCUGCCUUCUCCCCCUCAAGCCCCCGGUGUUCAAGUGCGAUGCCGUAGGGCACGUGGUGUGCUACUACUGCCGUGCCGGGCACCGCGCCGUCUGCAGCCGUGCCAACACCCACUGCGGCCAGCUGGACAAGGUGGUCGGCGCCGCCAAGGUGCCAUGCCCCUACAAGGCGUUCGGCUGCGAGCGCUACGUGGUGUUCCACGAGGCCGCGGACCACCAGCGCGUGUGCCAGUGCGCGCCCUGCACCUGCCCGGAGUCCGCAUGCGCCUUCGUGGGCUCCCGCGCAAUGCUGGUCGACCACUUCGCCGCCGAUCACCAGCGCCCCGCCGUCAUGGUCCGCUAUGGCCGGUCUUGGAGCCUGAGCUUCUCCCUGUCGCACGGCUGGCACCUGCUUGUCGGGGAGGAGGACCGCUGCGUGUUCCUCGUCUCCCUCCGCCCGCUCGGUCCGGGCACCGUCGUGUCACUGAUGUGCCUCAGGCCAGACGGUGAGGCUGAGACGGGGCCCCGGUUCUGGUGCAAGCUCUCCAUUGAGCACCGUAGCGGCGACAAGGACUACGACCUAGUUCUCAUGACCUCGCCGGUGAUCAGCAAUGCGCUGUCCACGUGCGCGCCGGCGUUGGGCCAGGGGAUGUUCUUGGUGGUGCCCCAGGAGCUGCUCUCCGGCGACACGCUCACCCUCAGCGUCCGCAUCGAUCUGAUCCCACCUGCCGCCGCCGCUCCCAAGUCAACUACACCGCAGGCCAGGGCGCCGAGGAGGAUGCACGAGGCUGGACCUGAUGCUCAAAGAACCUUCAAGUUCAAACCGAAGAUGACAAUCUGGACAAAAUCACAUUUCAAAGAAUUUUCCCCCGUCUCAGAGAUGGGUCAAGUUGUGUGUUAUUGUGUAUCAAACUGGGGACAGAGGAUCAUGCUUCUUUCAAAGUUUGCAUUCAUGGCUCACAUAAAUCCUGCCAUGGAGAACGGCGGCGAGCCGAGCAACAAGAAAUCGAGGUUGCAGGAGGAGCCCAUGGCGGCGGUGAAGCAGGAACGGCUAGAGAUGAAGGAGAGCCAAGGCGGCGCUGGCGCGCUGGCGACUGUGGAGGAAGCCAUGCAGGUUCCAUGGGUGGCCGCGGAGGUGAACCCACUCUUCUAUCUCUGCUUUGCAUGCCAACUUCCCCUCAGGCCUCCUGUGCACCAGUGCGAGGGCGGGCACAGGGUGUGCGGCAGGUGCCAUGGCGACCGCUGCACGGCGUGCGACCCGCCAGCGGCCUACAGCCCCUUCCCCUUCAUGGACGACGCGCUGGGCGCCGUGCAGCUGCCGUGCUGCUACAGGGCCGACGGCUGCGGGAGGAAGCUCAUGUACCACGAGGCCGCCGACCACGCGCUGCAGUGCGCCUUCGCGCCCUGCCACUGCCCGGGCCACGGCUGCAGCAUGUGGGCCUCCCCGCCGGCCCUCCUCGACCACAUCGCCGCCGCCCACUCCUGGCCCGUCACGGAGGUCGGUUACGGGAGCCCGUUCAGGAUCGCCGUGCCAACUCCGUGGCGCGGCGGCGGCACGCACCUCCUCGUCGAGCGGAACGACCCGCGCCUGUUCCUCGUGACCCUCUCCGAGUUCGGGGAGGCCACCGCUGUCACGGUGGUGUGCGUGCGGGAGGGCACGGCGGCGGCGGCGCCCCGCUUCAGGUCCACGGUCUGGGCUGAGGUUGCCAGCAACACGGAGGAAAAUUUGUUUCGUCGACUGUCCACGGUGCCGAGCAGCAGCGGCGGCGGCAAUCUUUCCGGUGGAGGGCCGCCGGUGUGCCUGCUGGUGCCACCGGACUUUGGGAGCGAGAACGAAGACCUCUUCCUCGGUGUUCGCAUCGACAAGCUCUGA